GUAAUCAGCAGAAAAACUGGAUCUGGGUCAUCGCUUUGUCUUCCAACACGACAACGACCCAAAACAUACGUUGUUCCUGGUGAAGAACUACCUCCAGAAGACCAAAGCAAAUGGACAACACAAGCCAUGACUUCAAUCCCACUG